rnacentral:rRNA from 2 species
UGGGGGGGCGGCGGGCCUACACAUGCAGUCGAGCGGUAACAGGGGUAGCUUGCUACCCGCUGACGAGCGGCGGACGGGUGAGUAAUGCAUAGGAAUUUACCCGAUAGUGGGGGAUAACCUGGGGAAACCCAGGCUAAUACCGCAUACGUCCUACGGGAGAAAGGGGGCUUCGGCUCCCGCUAUCGGAUGAGCCUAUGCCGGAUUAGCUGGUUGGUGAGGUAAUGGCUCACCAAGGCGACGAUCCGUAGCUGGUCUGAGAGGAUGAUCAGCCACAUCGGGACUGAGACACGGCCCGAACUCCUACGGGAGGCAGCAGUGGGGAAUAUUGGACAAUGGGCGCAAGCCUGAUCCAGCCAUGCCGCGUGUGUGAAGAAGGCCCUCGGGUUGUAAAGCACUUUCAGCGAGGAAGAACGCCUGGCGGUUAAUACCCGCCAGGAAAGACAUCACUCGCAGAAGAAGCACCGGCUAACUCCGUGCCAGCAGCCGCGGUAAUACGGAGGGUGCAAGCGUUAAUCGGAAUUACUGGGCGUAAAGCGCGCGUAGGUGGCUUGAUAAGCCGGUUGUGAAAGCCCCGGGCUCAACCUGGGAACGGCAUCCGGAACUGUCAGGCUAGAGUGCAGGAGAGGAAGGUAGAAUUCCCGGUGUAGCGGUGAAAUGCGUAGAGAUCGGGAGGAAUACCAGUGGCGAAGGCGGCCUUCUGGACUGACACUGACACUGAGGUGCGAAAGCGUGGGUAGCAAACAGGAUUAGAUACCCUGGUAGUCCACGCCGUAAACGAUGUCGACCAGCCGUUGGGUGCCUAGCGCACUUUGUGGCGAAGUUAACGCGAUAAGUCGACCGCCUGGGGAGUACGGCCGCAAGGUUAAAACUCAAAUGAAUUGACGGGGGCCCGCACAAGCGGUGGAGCAUGUGGUUUAAUUCGAUGCAACGCGAAGAACCUUACCUACUCUUGACAUCCUGCGAACUUGUGAGAGAUCACUGAGUGCCUUCGGGAGCGCAGAGACAGGUGCUGCAUGGCUGUCGUCAGCUCGUGUUGUGAAAUGUUGGGUUAAGUCCCGUAACGAGCGCAACCCUUGUCCUUAUUUGCCAGCACGUAAUG